GAAUAUUAGGAAGGCGUGAUUACUAGGCUUCUAAAUGAGAACUAAGUUUCUCCAGGAACGACAUAGGGGAGAGUUUCCGGGCACAUGGCAGAAAGUGCCCUGCCGACUUGUUGUCAUUCAGCUUGUGCUUUACCAUAUUUAUCUGUGACGUGCUCGCAGGUUGACUUUUGUCAUUGAGAUAGGCAUGCAUGAACAGAACGGGGCUCAUUCUCAGAAUGUA
rnacentral:lncRNA from 1 species